rnacentral:tRNA from 1 species
GCCGGCGUUGGCCAACCAGGUAGGCCGCCUACUUGUCAGGUAGGUAUCCGAAAGGAUAUCCGGGUUCAAAUAGUUUUCGGUUAGCGGUAGCUGAGAACGUUGAAAGUCCCGGCGCCGGCG